CCAAUUACCCAAUCCUUUUGGUUCUCACGGUUUGUCUCCCCCACCAAAAACCCUCCCAGUCGCUGCACAGACCCUUAUCGAUGCAGAACCGCGUGCGCCGGAAGCUGUAACCCCGGAAGGCGACCUGUCCUCGCGAGCGUCCUUCAUCGCUACUCUCAAGUCCCUCACCCUGUUGCCGUUGCACAUCUCACCGUCACUGCAGCCCAGCUCCUGCGCGCUACGCCUCCGACCGAAUUGCAGCCAAGUGAGUCGUCACCGCUGAACCGAUUAGCUGCACUAUUCUCCUCGCGCGGAAGCCGUCGUCUCCAGCAUACCCGUUGCACUGGUGGUAGCCGAGCAUCCGAUCCUGGAAGAUUAGCCGCCUACUCGUCUACCAUUCACCGGGACCACAACGAACAUCAUCGCCGGCAGUAGGCUAUCCAUCCAAGGAAUACAACAAUUUGAUAGUUACUUUAGUAAGGUAUUGGAUGGCUCGGACCACUAGAUUUUCACACCCCAAAUGCCAAAUUGCAUUAAGGGGACUCUAACAAGGAAAUAUCUGCUAUCUGGAUAUAAAGACACUGUCGAGGGUCUUGAGGAAGCUAGAGAAAUCGCACUAGCCCAGGUUCAAAGUUUUAACAAGACAGACGUCCUUAAUUGCAAUGAGGUUACCUGUUUCUUUUGUAAAAAGUUAAAUACAUAGAAUUAAGGGGGACUAUUGCGUGAGUAAAUUAUCACGGUGCUCCAACAAACCAUUUUUUACACCGGCCGAACACAAACUCAUAUGGGUAAAAAGAAAUUAGUCGAGACGCGAUGCUCACCUUGCUACAUUAACAACUUGUUUACCCACUUGGAACAACAUAAUGAGCAUGCUAAGUUGGCCGAGAUUGAGGCCAUUGGUUUUGAUUUUUUGCAGCGGGUACCGCAAUGGCAUGUGAAGCAGAGCAUCAUGCUCCAACUAGCUAGGACUUAUGACGUGGAGUCAAAUACUCUCAGGGUCGACGCAGGGGACAUUUGAAUUACCGCCGAAUUGAUCAGCAAUGUAUUCGGCAUACCUUCUCGAGGUUAGUCAAAGUUAUGUAACAUGUAAAAAUUCUUAUGCGUGGUUUUUGUUUUUCCAUUGUUGACACUGACUGAUUGUUGUACACUGCUUUACUAAUGCAGGGGACCCAAUUCCGGAACUGUAGAAAAAAAAUGCAUCGCAUUUGGCAAUUAAGAGAGAGUUUCAGAAGAAAACUACAACACAACUGCGGGACUUUGUCAGACUUUGUCUUUGUCUGUCCAAUGGAGACCGAGCAACAGAGGAUGACCUUUAGACGAUACUUUAUCCUGGUGGUUUUGAAGAUGUUUCUUAGCCCCACAAGCCAAUAGACUAUUUCUCCGUGGCACCUCCCUCUGAUAUUGGAUGUCUCGAACCCAAGAAGAUUCCACUGGCCGUAUCAGAUAUUAAAGUGGUUGCGAGAUGCGAUAAGGAUAUUCCAAGAUCAAAACCGGAAAACAUGCGGCAUGUGCAUGUUCGUGUUGCUGGUAUUGCAACUAAAUUUCCUAAAUUUUAAAAACAUGUAUAUGUUUUGUACUUUCAGCGCUUAAAGCAUGGUUCGUUGCAUGCAUGUCAAGUACCCGAGCCUUGGAUUGUUGAAUGGACCACUAAUGAACUUGAUAAGAAGGUCGAUCAUGUUAUCUCACAGGUUCAAUCUCUAAUAAUCUCAUUUUUAUAAUAAUCAAACUGAAUACAAAUGCCAUUAGAGGUUCACGUUGAUUUUUUUCAAUCUUUGUUGUCCCGUAUUGAGCACACAGGGUUGCAUAGCCGACAAUGCAAGGAAAGGGAAAAAACAGAAGAAAGAGUCUAAUAGUAAAGCAAUAAACAAAAAAGGAAGGUGUAAAAGGCCCGCAAGGACCCUGACCAAUCGCCGUCUACCCAGGGCAAGAUUACAUCUCAAC